rnacentral:rRNA from 1 species
UACGAAGGGGGCAAGCGUUGUUCGGAAUUACUGGGCGUAAAGGGCGCGUAGGCGGCUUAUCAAGUCGGGCGUGAAAUCUCCGGGCUUAACCUGGAAGGGUCGUUCGAUACUGUCGAGCUAGAGUGUGGAAGAGGCUACUGGAAUUCCGUGUGUAGCGGUGAAAUGCGUAGAUAUCAUGAGGAACACCAGAGGCGAAGGCGGCUACCUGGACAGUUACUGACGCUCAGGCACGAAAGCGUGGGGAGCAAAAGGG